rnacentral:rRNA from 1 species
GACAGAGGAUGCAAGCGUUAUCCGGAAUGAUUGGGCGUAAAGCGUCUGUAGGUGGCUUUUUAAGUCUGCCGUCAAAUCCCAGGGCUUAACCCUGGACAGGCGGUGGAAACUACAAAGCUGGAGUACGGUAGGGGCAGGGGGAAUUUCCGGUGGAGCGGUGAAAUGCGUAGAGAUCGGAAAGAACACCAACGGCGAAAGCACUCUGCUGGGCCGACACUGACACUGAGAGACGAAAGCUAGGGGAGCGAAUGGG